CCGCCGAGUCCGACCAUGCAAGCGGCAGCGACCGCCCCGGCGCUCGCGCCGCCCAUCCUCCUCCCCCCUCUGCCUCCCCACCGGCUCCGGCUCCUCCGUCCGGCCGCGCCGCGCCGCCCGGUCCGCCGUCCGGUGCGAGCUCGUCGCCGCCGCCGCCGCCUCCGCCUCCUCCGCGGCGCCCGCACCCGUGGCCGCCCCCCGCUGGGCCCAGACGACGGUCGUCAUCCCGCCGCAGCGCCGCGGCUGCCACAUCAUCACCCACAAGAUCAUGCACGCGAUCAGGAGCGACCUCUCCGAGUUCAAGUGCGGCCUGGCGCAUCUCUUCUUGCACCACACGAGCGCUUCACUCACUCUUAAUGAGAACUACGACCCCGAUGUCCAAACUGACACUGAAACAUUCCUUAGUCGAAUUGUCCCAGAGGGCCCAUCUGCUCCAUGGAGGCACACCAUUGAAGGAUCUGAUGACAUGCCAGCACAUAUCAAAUCAUCAAUGUUUGGCUGUGCCUUGACAAUUCCUAUCACUGAUGGGCGUCUCAACAUGGGAACUUGGCAGGGUAUAUGGCUCUGUGAACAUCGUGAUUACGCUACUCCGCGCACAGUUGUGAUUACGCUCAGUGGGAUAUGAAUGAUGAAUGCUAGGAGCUGCAAAUACAGUGUUGCUGAUGUGCAGUGAAAUUGGAACUCUGCUUCAACUGUUGUAUGAGCUGCCCCGACAAAUCUUAUUUGUAAUCUUGUUUGAGCAGUUUUGCGCAAGGGGAGUAAAUAGUAGAUUUUGUGAGCUCCCAUGCAAGCACCCCUUUAUGUGGGCCAUGUAAUAUUGCAUCAAGAUCUGUACUGCUAGCUUGCUAUCUCCACCUUGGUAGAAAUAAUGUCUCUUUUGUUUAUCCCAAACAAGACGACAUAUAAAGACGCCAUGCCAACAUAUAAAUAAAUAUAUUCUCAGAUCA